GACGAACGCUGGCGGCGUGCCUAAUACAUGCAAGUUGAGCGCUGAAGGUUGGUACUUGUACCAACUGGAUGAGCAGCGAACGGGUGAGUAACGCGUGGGGAAUCUGCCUUUGAGCGGGGGACAACAUUUGGAAACGAACGCUAAUACCGCAUAAAAACUUUAAACACAAGUUUUAAGUUUGAAAGAUGCAAUUGCAUCACUCAAAGAUGAUCCCGCGUUGUAUUAGCUAGUUGGUGAGGUAAAGGCUCACCAAGGCGAUGAUACAUAGCCGACCUGAGAGGGUGAUCGGCCACAUUGGGACUGAGACACGGCCCAAACUCCUACGGGAGGCAGCAGUAGGGAAUCUUCGGCAAUGGACGAAAGUCUGACCGAGCAACGCCGCGUGAGUGAAGAAGGUUUUCGGAUCGUAAAACUCUGUUGGUAGAGAAGAACGUUGGUGAGAGUGGAAAGCUCAUCAAGUGACGGUAACUACCCAGAAAGGGACGGCUAACUACGUG
rnacentral:rRNA from 1 species